rnacentral:rRNA from 1 species
UACGUAGGGCGCAAGCGUUGUCCGGAAUUAUUGGGCGUAAAGAGCUCGUAGGCGGUCUGUCGCGUCUGCUGUGAAAACUCAGGGCUUAACCCUGAGCUUGCAGUGGGUACGGGCAGACUAGAGUGCGGUAGGGGGAGACUGGAAUUCCUGGUGUAGCGGUGAAAUGCGCAGAUAUCAGGAGGAACACCGGUGGGCGAAGGGCGG